AGAGAGGGAGAAGUGACGAUGGUGAUCGUUGCUGCCGCGGCCGAUAUGGAACCCAAGCAGUGGCGAAGGGAAUCGCAAGGCUCUUCCCUGACCAUUUUCUACUGUCCCUGCGCGAGGUGAGGGCCCCGGCUCGGCCUCUGCAAAACUUUGGGGCGCUGGCGCGGAGGAGGAGACAGGAUUUCUCCCGUGACUUUUGUAACUGCGUCAGGGCAAGAUGGCGCUGGGUCUCUUUGGGGCGCGGGGGGAGAGGCACGUCCACCGCCGCAGCGCAUGUGACCGGGCUGCAUUCCUGUGGGGUUUGGCUCCGACCCAGGCCGGGGCGGGGGAGGGGACAGGGCUUGGGCGGAGGAGACUGUGGUGCGGUCGGCGUUGGCGGCCUGAAGAGGAAGAGAUGACUGUUGGAAAGCGUUCCCCUCCCCCAUACGGCAGAACAGCUGCGGCUCCCAGGGGAAAGCCCCCGCAGGACAGUCCUCGUGGGGUGUGACGGCUGUUGGUGGAGAAGGUUUGGCGCCCUAUUUUCUUAUCUGCCUUUCUCCCCGCAAAGUAUACUUAUGUAAGGUGGUAGUUCCCUGACGUGGGACUCGGAAUCAACUAGGAGUCCUUGAGGGCCUCUGGGAGGCCUAGCGAGGGGUAGACCAGCUUCUGGGGGUACAACGUCAAGGAGGAUCGAUUACUUUCUGAGGAAACAGUUUCUCAGAUUGAAAUAGAAAAGUAUUUCCAAAGUUUGGAAACAAAUUUAAAGGUGUAAAUAACACCCAGGAACACUUUAAUUGCUUUGAAAAGGCAUAAGCAGCCAUCUGAAUUUAAGGGCCCUUUUCAGACUCUUCCUUCCUCCUGUGAUUCCUGUUCUUUAUUUCAGUUUUCUGUCUGUACAUCCCUUAAGAAUAUAGUUUUGUCGGUGGGAUUCGCUCUUUUGUGCCCAGGCUGGAGUGCAGAGGCGAGAUCUCGGCCCACUGCAACCUCCGCCUCCCCGGGUUCAGGCGAGUCUCCUGCCUCAGCCUCCCAGGUAGCUGGGAUUACAGGCGCCCACAACCACACCCUGCUAAUUUUUUCUAUUUUUAGUAGAGACGGGGUUUCACCCCAUUGACCAGGCUGGUCUCGAACUCUCGAGAUCCGCCCGUCUCAGCUUCCCAAAGUGCUGGGAUUAUAGGCAUGAGCCACCGCGCCGGGCCUGCUUUUUUUUUUUUUUUUUUUUUUUGCACUGGGCAUUAGUAAUACGGAAUAAAAGCCGUGUUUUAAACUGUAUUAAGUUGUAAGACUUUUCAGUACUUUCAAGUCUGCUUUCUUUCUGUUGCCCUUUUGUAGUUUUUAAAAAUAAAAGAUGCAAUUAUAAGCACUUCCGGUGAAUAUUAUUCCUUAAGGUUCCUGCAUCAUCAUGAAAUUUGAAGCACUUUUAUAGUAGUACAAACUAUACUUUUAGCUUUUGAAAUCUCGAUAGGAGAAAAUAUCCAGCAGUUUUAGGGGCUAUUUUGGCAUAUUCAUUAAGGUAGACUAAGUUUGUUUUUCGUUUUUCCCACUUAGCCAAACUAGUUAAAGUAGUCAAAACUAGCAAAUAAUUUUUAAAGGGCUUCUCCUUUUGGGUGGUGUAGAGGGUGGGGAGUUAUUCAACAAACACAUUUGCAGCCAAAAUCUGGCCUACUUCUUGGCAGAGCGCUUAUACUUGGUGCUACGAGAAAAUGAUUGCUGGACCUGAAAAGAACCUGAGGUCAAGGUUGUGCUAUUUCCUUAAGUCUUAGUUGUAGGCUCUUGGUAGUUUGAAAACAAGAUUGGGUUUUUAAUUCAUUUGUGUAUCCUUAAAUCCUCACUAGUUUUUGUGGAUUUCUUUUUUCAGUUAUAAGCAACUGAAUGUGGAUGAGCUAUAAAUAUUUAGUACAAAGAAUGUAAUUUGUCCACUCUGAAUAGAAAGUAAGCAUUAAGAACUCUUGAAUGUCUUCAAGGGUUACUUUGUUACGUGUAAGAUGUCUCCCCUUCCUUCAUAGCAGUUUUUAUUCCUGCUUAAAAAGGGAACUAAAUAUGAAGUCAGUAGAUUUUAAGGUAAUUUUCAGAAUGUUUCUACUUUCACCGUGCCUUAAUAAGGAAAAAAGGCCAUUUUCCAAGCGAAUGGAAACACCCUUUCCUUGUUUUGUGCCUUUAAUCAGCGUGUACCUUCAUUGUUCCUGAUUGCCAAAUCCACGAACUUCUUGAGCUCUCAAUUUUUCUUGACUUUCCUAUGGCAUUUUAAAUACUGUUCAUACUUGGAAUUACUUUUCUUUGACUGCCUUCAUACAUUCAUAUAUUCUGCCUGGGCAAUUUCAUUUGGGCCUAUUAUGUUCCAAUACCUCUCCAAUUUUCACCUCCAUCUUAGCUCUGCCAGCUUCAGUGCCACAGGUAGGCAAUGUAAAAGUUUACUGGGGACCACAGGCUUUCUGAGCUCAAUAAAAAUACUAAGCUUGGUACUUGUUUUUUAAGAAUUUUCUUCCCCCAUCCCCUCACAAAGAUUAUUUGAGUAAAUUACACCCCAACCUCC
rnacentral:lncRNA from 1 species